CCUACGUGAGGCAGCAGUGAGGAAUAUUGGUCAAUGGGCGCGAGCCUGAACCAGCCAAGUAGCGUGAAGGAUGACUGCCCUACGGGUUGUAAACUUCUUUUAUAAAGGAAUAAAGUGAGGCACGUGUGCCUUUUUGUAUGUACUUUAUGAAUAAGGAUCGGCUAACUCCGUGCCAGCAGCCGCGGUAAUACGGAGGAUCCGAGCGUUAUCCGGAUUUAUUGGGUUUAAAGGGAGCGUAGAUGGGUUGUUAAGUCAGUUGUGAAAGUUUGCGGCUCAACCGUAAAAUUGCAAUUGAUACUGGCAGUCUUGAGUACAGUUGAGGUAGGCGGAAUUCGUGGUGUAGCGGUGAAAUGCUGAGAUAUCACGAAGAACUCCGAUUGCGAAGGCAGCUUACUAAACUGCCACUGACAUUGAUGCGCGAAAGUGUGGGUAUCAAACAGGAUUAGAUACCCUGGUAGUC
rnacentral:rRNA from 1 species